rnacentral:tRNA from 1 species
AUUUUUAUAGUAUAUAAAUGUACAGUUAACUUCCAAUUAACAAGAUUGAAAAAUUCAAUAAAAAUA